rnacentral:rRNA from 1 species
GACGAACGCUGGCGGCGUGCUUAACACAUGCAAGUCGAACGGAAAGGCCCUGCUUUUGUGGGGUUCUCGAGUGGCGAACGGGUGAGUAACACGUGAGUAACCUGCCCUUGACUUUGGGAUAACUUCAGGAAACUGGGGCUAAUACCGGAUAGGAUCUCCUGCUGCAUGGUGGGGGUUGGAAAGUUUCGGCGGUUGGGGAUGGACUCGCGGCUUAUCAGCUUGUUGGUGGGGUAGUGGCUUACCAAGGCUUUGACGGGUAGCCGGCCUGGGAGGGUGGACGGGCACAAGGGGACUAAGGGACGGAGCAGAAGCGUACGGGAGGCAGUAGGGGGGAAUAUGGCACAAUGAGCGGAAGUCUGAUGCAGAAACGCCGCGUGCGGGAUGACGGGCUUCGGGGUGUAAACAGCUGUCGCCUGAGACGAAGCGUGAGUGACGGUAAUGAGUAAAGAAGCACCGGCUAACUACGUG